CUUGGUGUCACUUUAUUGCGGUAGCAGCACAAGUUAGGCACUCAGUGUUUAAUAGGUACCAUUUCAAUGACUUCCAUUCGGAGAUUUUUGGAGGUCCUUUGAGCUUUUUAUAGCCUGCUUACCGGUAGAUCAGUUCACCAUUAUCUAUUCAUAGCGAUUUAAUAUGUGAAUUUGAGUGCAAAUUUUUUUAGAGAGUCAUUGGAGUAAAUAGAACUGUAAAUGGAUAAUGCUGAAUGCUUCCAUUACCACUGGUCUAGCUGGUGAGCGUGCUGUUUUGGUUCGAAUGGGUUGCUUGUUUUACAAAUACACACACUCCUUUUCAUUUCCCAGUUUUAAGCCUGACUGCCACAUUAUACCCGUUACAAUGGCUGCAGGACGUAAAAGUGCCUCUUGUGUCAGUACGACUAGUAGUGAGUUGCUGUGAAUUUGUGAUCUGGCUGUAACGUGUUGCAGUGAGCAGAAUUUUAGCCGCAGAUUUACUCGAGACUUGUUGACUCACUUCUAUGUUCCACAGUCUCAAGACUUCGUGUGAUCUGAGUCUUCCCUGUCAGAAUUCCUGUAGAUCUGAACAAAUUUUGGUUUAAUCCAGUCCCUCAAACAAUUUCCAUGUGUGGCAUGCAGGGCACGUGCCCAGGAUUUUCUCUGGGAUAUAAGUAACGGGCCAGAAGGGAGAGAAGGCUCAGGGAGAUUCAGCUUGUCGUUUCCCGCAGAUCAUCCUCGAGAGGAGGAAGAGGAGGAGGAGGAGGAGAGGGCCUCUGACUGCGGAUCUGCUGGAGGUUAUCCCCGUCAGAGGGUGAAGCAGCAGAGAAUAUUAAGCCCAGCACAGUUGCUUGGGGGCCAACGCUGGAAACCCUUCCAUGGAAAAAUCCUGCCUUACUUGGCUACCCUUGCAUGUGGGAAGGCAGAGCAAGGAGGAACUCCUGUGUCGAUUAGGGAUGGUUUGAUGAUUUUGCGACUAGUGUUACUUGUAAUGGAGGGAGCUGCACUAAAAGAUUGCUUUCAGCAGCAGUCGUGACUUGUGACUUUUCUGAAGUGCUUCUCUUGGAGGAGGAUCGUUUGGGUACUAGAGAAAACCCCUGCUUCAGUGCUUUGCUCGAAGCACAGCGUGCCUGUUAACUAAGUACAAAGUGUUCUUAGGUGCCCAGUGCCUUAAACUCCUCUUGCUUUUCAAGAGAUUAAGAGAAAUUGAUUAUUUUUCCCUACCGACUCUGAAACAUUACCAGCUGAAAUAAAUAAAACACAGACAGAAAAACCUGGUCUUGA
rnacentral:lncRNA from 1 species